AAGUUUAGGUUUAGGUUUAGGUUUAGGUUAGGGAGUUGAGAUUAAGAUUAGGUAUAGGUUUAGGUUUAGGGAUUUAAGAAUACAUUUAGGUUUUAGGUUUAGGUUUAGGUUUAGGUUUAAGUUUUAGGUUAUAGGUUUUGGUUUUAGGUUUAGGUUAAGGUUAUAAGUUUAGGUUAUAGGUUAUAGGUUAUAGGUUAAGGUUUAGGUUAUAGGUUUUGGUUUAGGUUAAGGUUAUAGGUUUUUCUUUAGG